GACAGAGGGUGCAAACGUUGUUCGGAAUUACUGGGUGUAAAGCGCGUGUAGGCGGCAGACCAAGUCGGCGGUGAAAGCGCCCGGCUCAACUGGGCGAGGUCCGUGGAAACUGGUCAGCUGGAGGACGGUAGAGGCGAGUGGAAUUCCCGGUGUAGUGGUGAAAUGCGUAGAGAUCGGGAGGAACACCUGUGGCGAAGGCGGCUCGCUGGGCCGGUCCUGACGCUGAGACGCGAAGGCGUGGGGAGCGAACGGG
rnacentral:rRNA from 1 species